GACAGAGGAUGCAAGCGUUAUCCGGAAUGAUUGGGCGUAAAGCGUCUGUAGGUGGCUUUUUAAGUCUGCCGUCAAAUCCCAGGGCUUAACCCUGGACAGGCGGUGGAAACUACCAAGCUGGAGUACGGUAGGGGCAGGGGGAAUUUCCGGUGGAGCGGUGAAAUGCGUAGAGAUCGGAAAGAACACCAACGGCGAAAGCACUCUGCUGGGCCGACACUGACGCUGAGACGCGAAAGCGUGGGGAGCAAACAGG
rnacentral:rRNA from 1 species